rnacentral:tRNA from 1 species
GGCCAGGUGGCGGAAUGGCAGACGCGCACGACUCAAAAUCGUGUGAGGCAACUCUUGGGGGUUCAAGUCCCCCCCUGGCCA